GCAGUGGUCGUUCAGUGGUAGAAUUCUUGUCUUUCAUGCAGGAGACUCAGGUUCAAUUCCUGGCCAGUGCA
rfam:Loxodonta africana unplaced genomic scaffold scaffold_39, whole genome shotgun sequence.